GGUGCUGUGGCUUAGGUGGCCAAAGUGCCUGUCUAAUAAACAGGAGAUCCUGGGAUCAAAUCCCUGCAGGGCCU